AUGGGUUUUCAUCCUGAAGUUGUAAUUGGUGCUCUUGGUGGCCCUGAAAUUGUAAUCGGUGCCCUUGGCGACCCUGCCUUUGGUGGCCCCGAAGUUGUAAUCGGUGCCCUUGGUGGCCCUGCCUUUGGUGGUCCCGAAGUUGUAAUUGGUGCUCUUGGUUGCCCUGCCUUUGGUGGUCCUGAAGGUGUAACUGGUGGCUUUGGUUCUGAAGCUGUAACUGGUGCCCUUGGUGGCCCUGCCUUUGGUGGCCCUGAAGUUGUAAUCGGUACCCUUGGGGGCCCUUCCUUUGGUGGUCCCGAAGUUGAAAUUGGUGCUCUUGGUAGCCCUGCCUUUGGUGGUCCUGAAGUUGUAACUGGUGGCUCUGGUUCUGAAGCUGUAACUAGUGCCCUUGGUGACCCUGCCUUUGGUGGCCCCAAAGUUGUAAUAAGUACCCUUGGGGGCCCUUCCUUUGGUGGCCCCGAAGUUGAAAUUGGUGCUCUUGGUGGCCCUGCCUUUGGUGGUCCUGAAGGUGUAACUGGUGGCUCUGGUUCUGAAGCUGUAACUGUGAGAACAAAUACAACUAGUAGAUGAAAAAUUGCAACAAACACUUUCUUCAUUUUGUAAAACGAAUUUCUAUCUCAAUAAACUUUU